UGGAGGCGGCAGGUGCUCGCGGCCCCGCAAUGCGGGGUCGAGGAAAGUCCGAACUCCAGAUGGGAGCACGCUGGGCAACGCCCAGCCGCGGCAACGCGAGGGAAAGUGCCACAGAAAACACACCGCCCGGCGACCGCCGCCGGGCAAGGGUGAAAAGGUGGGGUAAGAGCCCACCGCUCGACCGGCGACGGUCGGGGCACGGCAAACCCCGUGCGGAGCAAGGCCAAAUAGGGGGAUCGACGGGGCCCAUCACCGGUUCCCCGCCUCGGCGGGGAGGAUCCCCGGGUAGGCCGCUCGAACCGGCCGGCAACGGCCCGGUCAGAGGAAUGGGUGCCGCCCUGCUUCGGCAGGGGACAGAAUUCGGCUUAUCGCUUCCUCUGGUGC
rnacentral:RNase_P_RNA from 2 species